rnacentral:rRNA from 1 species
UACAGAGGUCCCAAGCGUUGUUCGGAUUCACUGGGCGUAAAGUGUGCGUAGGUGGCCGGGUAAGUCUGACGUGAAAUCUCCGAGCCUAACUCGGAAACUGCAUCGGAUACUAUCCGGCUUGAGGGUUGGAGGGGGGACUGGAAUACUUGGCGUAGCAGUGAAAUGCGUAGAUAUCAAGUGGAACACCAGUGGCGAAGGCGAGUCCCUGGACAACUCCUGACACUGAGGCACGAAAGCUAGGGGAGCAAACAGG